rnacentral:rRNA from 1 species
AUUGAAAGAUGGAGGCAUGCCUUACACAUGCAAGUCGAACGGCAGCACGGGUGCUUGCACCUGGUGGCGAGUGGCGAACGGGUGAGUAAUACAUCGGAACAUGUCCUGUAGUGGGGGAUAGCCCGGCGAAAGCCGGAUUAAUACCGCAUACGAUCUACGGAUGAAAGCGGGGGACCUUCGGGCCUCGCGCUAUAGGGUUGGCCGAUGGCUGAUUAGCUAGUUGGUGGGGUAAAGGCCUACCAAGGCGACGAUCAGUAGCUGGUCUGAGAGGACGACCAGCCACACUGGGACUGAGACACGGCCCAGACUCCUACGGGAGGCAGCAGUGGGGAAUUUUGGACAAAGGGCGAAAGCCUGAUCCAGCAAUGCCGCGUGUGUGAAGAAGGCCUUCGGGUUGUAAAGCACUUUUGUCCGGAAAGAAAUCCUUGGCCCUAAUACGGUCGGGGGAUGACGGUACCGGAAGAAUAAGCACCGGCUAACUACGUG